CACAAAUGCCACCAAUCAAGCCAUUUCUUUCUCAAGGGGAACUGAGUGAUUUGCAGGGUUUGGGGAAGGUUGCCUGUGCCUAAAGCAUCAUUCCGUCCCACUCUAGGAAACAUCAGCGGCCAUCCUCACUCCUGCAUGUCUGGCCAUUGGUGCUGCCUGUCAAAUAGAGACCACUGGGUGUCUGCCAUGGUGGUCUCUAAAGGAGAAUAGAGGAAGUGGUGCUGUGCACGGAGCUCGACUAUCCUGAAUCCACCAUGAUUCGACCUCAUGUCAGUCCUUUGGCUGCCAGCCCAGUUCAACUCCAAGCUGAUGACCAGUGUCGACCGCCAGUCAUUCUGAACAUUUGACCAGUUGAGCUUUCAAAUGAUGGCAGUCCUGGCUGACAUUUUGGGUGAACAAUAUGAGAGACUGACUGGUUGAGCCCUUCCCAAAUUUCUGACCCACAACAUUGUGAGAAAAAUAAUCUUAAGCCUCUCAGUUUGGGGACAAUUUGUUACUCAGCAAUAGAAAUGAAAAUAUGAUCUCAGUAGGACCAUGUGACUUGCAGCAACCAGGGUGACAAUGAACGUCCCUGCAGAUACCCGAGGAGGGGACGCAUGAAGGUUCCCUAGGUGCCCUGUAAAUCUACAGCUUCCUGCUUUCCUCUGCCACAAACACAUGACACGCUGUACCUCUACACCUAAUCUUUUGGUUUGGAAAGGAACGGAAGGUGAUAGAAAUCUGAAAGUUGCGACUGAGGUUUACCAUCCUAAACACAUUAUUUCAGGAGACUAACUCCAAGAUGAUUGGCAUGAACUAGAAUUUUUCUCCCCUUUCUUAUAAAGCAAAUGGGACAGCUCAGGAGGAAGAUCGGAGCAGUUAUAUACAAAAAAUUAACACACAAAUGAAGCAACCACGUGGCCUCUGUGUAUAUGGAGAAAAGUGUGAGCAAAUGUGGGGCCCUAAUACAGAAUGUCAGCCAGGAAGACGAGGAAGGCAGACCUCCCUAGAACAGUGGUACAAGACAUUGGUGGUCAUCUUAACAGAUGUGCACUGACUGAUAUCCUUCAGAAUAGGAAGGAAAUGUGAGAUCUUAAGAAGGAAUUCUAGGGGAGGUCUCAGCUUUACCCCCUGUGACUUGCACUUGGAAUGAACAUAUUUACUUUCAC
rnacentral:lncRNA from 1 species